rnacentral:rRNA from 1 species
AUUGAACGCUGGCGGCAGGCCUAACACAUGCAAGUCGAACGAGUGGCGGACGGGUGAGUAAUGCCUAGGAAUCUGCCUGGUAGUGGGGGAUAACGUCCGGAAACGGGCGCUAAUACCGCAUACUAUCAGAUGAGCCUAGGUCGGAUUAGCUAGUUGGUGGGGUAAAGGCCUACCAAGGCGACGAUCCGUAACUGGUCUGAGAGGAUGAUCAGUCACACUGGAACUGAGACACGGUCCAGACUCCUACGGGAGGCAGCAGUGGGGAAUAUUGCACAAUGGGCGCAAGCCUGAUGCAGCCAUGCCGCGUGUAUGAAGAAGGCCUUCGGGUUGUAAAGUACUUUCAGCGGGGAGGCGUUACCCGCAGAAGAAGCACCGGCUAACUCCGUGCCAGCAGCCGCGGUAAUAC